CUAACUGUGCAAAGGUAGCAUAAUCCUUAGUCUUUUAAUUGAAGGCUGGUAUGAACGGUUGGACGAAGUAUAAGCUGUUUCAUUUUAACUUAUAUUAGAAUUUUAUAUUUUAGUAAAAAAGCUAAAAUUUUAUUAAAAGACGAGAAGACCCUAUAAAUCUUUAUAUAAAACUUUAUUUAAUUUUUUUGGAUAUAUUUGAUUUUCUUUUUGUUUUAUAUUUUGUUGGGGUGAUGUUAAAAUUUAAUGAACUUUUAAUUUAUUAAAUCAUUAAUUUAUGAUAUAUUGAUCCAUUAAUAAUGAUUAUAAGAUUAAGUUACUUUAGGGAUAACAGCG
rnacentral:rRNA from 1 species